rnacentral:rRNA from 1 species
UACGUAGGGUGCAAGGCGUUGUCCGGAAUUAUUGGGCGUAAAGAGCUCGUAGGUGGCCUGUCGCGUCGGCUGUGAAAACUCGGGGCUCAACAUCCGAGCGUUGCAGUCGAUACGGGCAGGCUAAGAGUUCGGCAGGGGAGACUGGAAGUUCCUGGUGGUAGCGGUGGAAAUGCGCAGGAUAAUCAGGAGGAACACCGAUGGCGAAGGCAGGUCUCUGGGCUGAUGAACUGACGCUGGAGGAGCGAAAGCAUGGGGAGC